UUCCAUUUGGUUAUUUCAUUCUGUUUGUGUCUCUGUUUUUUUCCGUUGAAAAUCUGAGAAUUCAAGAAGGCCGAGUAAAAAUCAAAUGAAAAAAAAAAUGUGUGUUCGUCCUUUAUAGGUUUCCUCACCGUUGAACCUAAGAGGCUGAAAUUUUGCAUGGCUCCCUCUUUUAAAUCUGUUCAGGCCAAGACAGGGGUGUCGAUUGGUAGGUAGGGAUUAUGCUAUAUCCAAAACACAAAAACCCGUUUUUUGGAGCUCAAGGAGACUAGAUAUGGGACUAAGUUAUCAAUCCAAAAAAGGAAAAAAAAUCUCACAGUGAAUGUUGAUUUAUUCAGUCCAAGAUCGUAAUUUUUACAUUAUUGAAAAUUCAAACGAAAAUACAGGUUACAAGAGGCAAUAAAAUAAUUGCUAUGAUGAUACUUUUUUCGAUUACCUCACUUAACCUGAUGGAUAAAAUGUGUGAAGUAUACAAGAGAAUAAGAAUUAGAAUUAUCAGGAUCUAUUUCGACAACAAAGAAACGUUCAUAUUGUAAUCAUUAGUAUAUUUAGUAAAUUGAAGUAUUUUCUGAAUAAUUUUUUUAAUUUUCUCAAUUAAUUUGACCAUUUUCUAUAUGAUUUCCCUUUCCCUCCUUGAACCGAGCAUGUUCGUGUAAAGAUUUGCUAAUAAAUAAAAGUAAGUAUAUUACGGUGAUAAUAAUUUUUGGGGCUAAGUCCCUUCUCUCAUAUGAUGAAAGCAAGCUCCUGCUGCCACUUCAAGGAAAAUUCUAACAUAAAUGAAAUAAGGAAUACCGUUAUGAUAUACGUGGAUAUGGAGUUUAUAUAUAUACUUUAUUCUACACGCGGAGAAUACAGAAUUACUCUCAUAUUAAUAUAUUAUUAUACACAAAAUACACACGGAACAUUUAUACAAAUAGGUCACUAAACCUAUAGCUAUGAAUAUAUAUAACAACCGUCAUUAGCAAUAUAAAAAUAGCCAUAAACUCGUCAAGACACAACAAUAUAAAUUCUAUUCAUUCGAAGGAUCCGGAAAGGUUAAAGGAUUAUAAGGAGGGCCCAAAUCAAUCAUCAAGAAGAAGUGGAAGGCAAAGGAGGACGGGAGGAAGUCAAGGGACUAGUAAUGAAAAAAACCUAUAUCCUCCCUUGAAGACUCUAUUGAACUCUUUUUUUAAAAACACUUUUGGACCCCCUACAGCCCUGAAACCGGGUGCGGCAAAACAAAAUCUUUAUACUAUACUUCGUUUUUGCUACUUAAAUCAAGGCUUUUUUGUCUUAGAAGCUGACAAAAUACCAACUGUUUGCAUCUUUAGUAUUAACUAUAGUUCCAUUAAUUUUGAGACCACAACUACUGAGGUGUGAGCUGGUGCAUUAUUGUGAUGGAAAAUGACUUUUUGCCGGUCAAUCGUGCGCGUUUUUCUUGCUGCUCGGUUUUCAAACGGUCCAAUAACCAUGAAUUCCUUUGCGAAUCCAAAAGACAGUCGACAUAAUCUUUCCAGUCAAUUCCUUGAUUCAAAUUAAUCCUAAACAAAAAGAAAUAGACUGAUCUGCUUGUAAUAAAUAUUGGUAAAUAAAUUAUACUUUGUUCAACUUGCUUGUAUGGAAGAACAUAAAUAAAUACAUGCUUAUAACUAGUUAUGAAAA
rnacentral:lncRNA from 1 species